rnacentral:rRNA from 1 species
CGUGGGUAACCUGCCCAAGAGAUCGGGAUAACACCUGGAAACAGAUGCUAAUACCGGAUAACAACAGAUGAUGCCUAUCAACUGUUUAAAAGAUGGUUCUGCUAUCACUCUUGGAUGGACCUGCGGUGCAUUAGCUAGUUGGUAGGGUAACGGCCUACCAAGGCGAUGAUGCAUAGCCGAGUUGAGGGACUGAUCGGCCACAUUGGGACUGAGACACGGCCCAAACUCCUACGGGAGGCAGCAGCC